AGAUACGCGCAGAACCUUACCAACACUUGACAUGUUCGUCGCGACUCUAAGAGAUUAGAGUUUUCGGUUCGGCCGGACGAAACACAGGUGCUGCAUGGCUGUCGUCAGCUCGUGUCGUGAGAUGUUGGGUUAAGUCCCGCAACGAGCGCAACCCUCACUUUUAGUUGCCAUCAUUAAGUUGGGCACUCUGAAAGAACUGCCAGUGAUAAGCUGGAGGAAGGUGGGGAUGACGUCAAGUCCUCAUGGCCCUUACGUGUUGGGCUACACACGUGCUACAAUGGCAUCUACAACAGGAAGCAAAACGGCAACGUUAAGCAAAUCCCGAAAAGAUGCCUCAGUUCGGAUUGCACUCUGCAACUCGAGUGCAUGAAGCUGGAAUUACUAGUAAUCGUGGAUCAGCGUGCCACGGUGAAUGCGUUCCCGGGUCUUGUACACACCGCCCGUCACACCAUGGGAGUUGGUUCUACCNUAAGGCAAGGUUUNA
rnacentral:rRNA from 1 species